AUUGAACGCUGGCGGCAUGCCUUACACAUGCAAGUCGAACGGCAGCGGGGGAGAAGCUUGCUUUUCCUGCCGGCGAGUGGCGAACGGGUGAGUAAUACAUCGGAACGUGCCCUGUAGUGGGGGAUAACUAGUCGAAAGAUUAGCUAAUACCGCAUACGACCUGAGGGUGAAAGUGGGGGACCGCAAGGCCUCAUGCUAUAGGAGCGGCCGAUGUCUGAGUAGCUAGGUGGUGGGGUAAAGGCCUACCAAGGCGACGAUCAGUAGCUGGUCUGAGAGGGCGAUCAGCGACACUGGGACUGAGACACGGCCCAGACUCCUACGGGGGGCAGCAGUGGGGAAUUUUGGACAAUGGGCGAAAGACUGAUCCAGCAAUGCCGCGUGUGAAGAAGGCCUUCGGGUUGUAAAGCACUUUUGUCCGGAAAGAAAUGGCUCUGGUUAAUACCUGGGGUCGAUGACGGUACCGGAAGAAUAAGGACCGGCUAACUACGUGCCAGCCGCCGCCGUAA
rnacentral:rRNA from 1 species